rnacentral:rRNA from 1 species
UACGGAGGGUGCAAGCGUUGUUCGGAAUCAUUGGGCGUAAAGCGCGUGUAGGCGGCUUGGCAGGUCAGUUGUGAAAGCCCGGGGCCCAACCCCGGAAUUGCAUCUGAAACUGCCUGGCUAGAGUCCCGGAGAGGAAGGCAGAAUUCCCGGUGUAGGGGUGAAAUCCGUAGAUAUCGGGAGGAAUACCAGCGGCGAAGGCGGCCUUCUGGACGGUGACUGACGCUGAGACGCGAAAGCGUGGGGAGCAAACAGG